GCUCCCGUAGCUCAGUUGGAUAGAGCACCUGCCUUCUAAGCAGGGGGUCGCGCGUUCGAGUCCUGCCGGGGGUA
rnacentral:tRNA from 1 species